GCGGCAGGCUUCAUACAUGCAAGUCGAGGGGCAGCAUAAAUUACUUGUAAUUUGAUGGCGACCGGCGAACGGGUGCGUAACGCGUAUGCAACUUACCUUUUACUAGAGAAUAGCCAAGAGAAAUUUUGAUUAAUGCUCUAUGUUCUUAUUUACUCGCAUGAGUAAAUAAGCAAAGCUCCGGCGGUAAAAGAUGGGCAUGCGUCCUAUUAGCUUGUAGGUGAGGUAAUGGCUCACCUAAGCUCCGAUAGGUAGGGGUCCUGAGAGGGAGAUCCCCCACACUGGUACUGAGACACGGACCAGACUUCUACGGAAGGCAGCAGUAAGGAAUAUUGGACAAUGGAGGCAACUCUGAUCCAGCCAUGCCGCGUGAAGGAAGACGGCCUUAUGGGUUGUAAACUUCUUUUAUACAGGAAGAAACCUUUCCACGUGUGGAAAGUUGACGGUACUGUAAGAAUAAGGAUCGGCUAACUCCGUGCCAGCAGCCGCGGUAAUACGGAGGAUCCAAGCGUUAUCCGGAAUUAUUGGGUUUAAAGGGUCCGCAGGCUGUUUGUUAAGUCAGAGGUGAAAUCCUACCGCUCAACGGUAGAACUGCCUUUGAUACUGGCAAACUUGAGUUAUUGUGAAGUAGUUAGAAUGUGUAGUGUAGCGGUGAAAUGCAUAGAUAUUACACAGAAUACCGAUUGCGAAAGCAGAUUACUAACAAUAUACUGACGCUGAGGGACGAAAGCGUGGGUAGCGAACAGGAUUAGAUACCCUGGUAGUCCACGCCGUAAACGAUGGUCACUAGCUGUUCGACGUACAUUGGUACGUUGAGUGGCUAAGCGAAAGUGAUAAGUGACCCACCUGGGGAGUACGC
rnacentral:rRNA from 1 species